CAUUGCUUAGCUGGUGCCGGAAACACCAGGUGUUGAAAACCCCUGGUGCGGGUUCGAAACCCGCAGUGAUCU